CUUAGACCAGAGAGGGGUAGUCACCAAACAACACACCAGUUUCAUCGAUGGGAUCCACAAGCAUCAGCGUCUCCCCAGCAGUAAGCCUGACAUACACCCGAACGCUGUAAUGCUCAGCGUAACAUAAGAUUUCAUUAAAUAGAGACUUGAAAGUGUCCUGGGAAGACCUACCGUCAAAAACAUCCACCAUGUUGAAAAAGGCCAGAGACAGCGAAGACUUUCCACUGCCUGUUCUACCACAGAUGCCCACCUGGGACAGAAAGAAUAAGACGUAAGCACUUGACACAGCCUGACAUUUUCAGAUUGCUUUUGUAUAAACAUGUUCAGGGCUGCUGUUCUCCUAAAUUACACAAACUAGUGCGGACAGUUAAAGUUCCCAUGUCACAAUAAGAAGCUGUCAUGCUUGUAUAUUGAGAGCCAGGGGGCCUCCUAAAAACAAGACUAAUAAAGUGGAUGAUGGGC